rnacentral:lncRNA from 1 species
GUCAAAGCCAGGAUCCUACUCCCGUUUCUUCUGACUCUAAAUCUUGGAAUUUUCUCAGCAAACCAGAAGUCUUACCAUGGCCCUGUCUCAGGGCACUCAGCCCCAAAGUGGUGGAGCAAGAGCACUCCAAUCGGCACCACAUGCUGAGCAAUUGAGCUAGCAUGCUGAUAGAGGCAGGGACGACACAGGCCUUGUCAUCGAUAACAGGAUGAAUACUGAGGGCCAUCAGCCCAUGAGUUCUUUGCUCGUCUAUCCUAGAAAAAGGAAUGUUUUCAAAUACCUCCACUAUCAAUCACCAA